CCCCGGGCUGUGCGGCUGCGCUGGCGUCUUAGGCUCCAAGGCCCGGCCGCCGCGGCUCUUUUGUUUCCCUGCCGGGGCUCGAGCUUCGAGUCUGGGCCGCAGUCUGGGUCGUGUCAGAGCCGGAGCUGAGUCGGAGUCGGAGUCGGGGCCGGAGCCAGAGCCGAGUCGGAACGGGAGCCGGGCGUCUCAGCCUGUCCGUCCACCAGCGCUCCUCGGAUCCCGGCGAGCGCGGCGCCCGGCCCUCCCUCGGGCCCGCGGGGCUGGGACCCGGCCCAGGCCUGCCCGAUGGGGCGCGCGGCCCCGGCGAUGCGCCCGCGCCCGGUCCUACGAGCCCGGCCCCGCGCGCCCGGCCCACCCGCGUUCCGCGCCUCCGCCUGAGCCCCGCGCGCAGCCCGCCGCGCCCCUCCCCGCGUCCCCGGCCCGCGCGCGCCAUGGAGCCCGGCCGCGGCGGCGUGGAGACCGUGGGCCGCUUCGAGUUCUCGCGCAAGGACCUGAUCGGCCACGGCGCUUUCGCAGUGGUCUUCAAGGGGCGCCACCGCGAGAAGCAUGACCUGGAGGUCGCGGUCAAGUGCAUUAGCAAGAAGAACCUGGCCAAGUCCCAGACGCUGCUGGGGAAGGAAAUCAAAAUUCUCAAGGAGCUGAAGCACGAGAACAUCGUGGCGCUGUACGACUUCCAGGUGAGGCCUGGGGGGGGGGGGGCAGUGUCACCGCCUGACCCGCCUUUCCAGAUCAGUGUCCCCGGCUGUGGAGCUGGGAGCUCCUCGGGGGCCCUGGGUCUUCGGCCCAGAUUUGACCUGGCUCCCCUGGGUGUUGAGCAGCCCUGGGCUUGCGAGCUGCCCGGCUGGGAGGGGAGGGGACUCGGGGUGUUGCGCUGACUGCCUGGGGGCCUCUCCGGGUCUGGACCCCCUUCGUGUGUGGCCAGUGGCCCGGUCUGAGUCUGGCGUCCCAGGCAGGCCCACCUGCCUGGCCCUCGGCUUGUUUGUUGACAGCGCUCCGGCGACCGGGCAUUGGCCAGGGCCUCUCUGCGUCAGACCGGGAGGGGGAGGCGCCGGGAGACUCCGCGCUGGCAGUUGAUGCUGGGCCUGCUGGACGCCGGGGCACCUCAGGCCUGGCGGCCUCCGUAGGCCAGCCGGCAGCUCAGCCGCUCCCCACCUUGCCCCUCUCAGGACCCCGGGGCCAGUGAGGCAGGGCCGGGGCCCAGGUCCCCCGCUUUGGGGCCAGGAGCUGGGGACAGGUCUGCCGGCGAAGUGCUGACUAAUGGUUUCGAAACCUGUUUACGGGGCGGCUCGCGGAGGAACGGCCCUGGCUGAGGGAGGUUCCCGGCAGCCUGUAUCUGGGCCUCCGUCGCUGACUUUCUGCUGUGGGUGUGGGCAGGGCCAGGCCUCCUCUGACAGGGAGUGACACUGUUCCAUGCCCCACCCUCCCGCUUGCCUCCUUGCUCAGCCCUGCUGCCCUGACCCGCCUCUGCUCCUCCAUGCUCGCUCCAUCCUUCCCCUUCCCCCGCCCUGGGUCUGAAGCCUCCAGUGUGCCCCAGGGCAGGGCAGACACCGGCUGGCUCCAGGUGGCUCCCCACAGUGCGGUCUGCUGUCCUGCUGGGGACACCUCGGACUGGGCACUGCCACUCCUCCUCCAGCGUUGGCAAUGCUGUGGCUUCCUCUGCACAGAGGAAAUGCUGAGAAGGCAGCCACAUACCCGGGCGGGCAGCUCUCACCCUGGUGCAGGACUGCCCCGUACCUUAAGAACUUGCUUGGGACGAACACCGGGCCAGAAGAGAUGAUUGGAUUUUAUGUAUUCACUUAUUUGAAGCAAGGCCUUGAACUCAGGACCUUGCGCUCUCAAGGCAGGUGGGGUGCCACCGAGCUACAUCCUUGGCCCAGGGUUUUGUUUUUUCUUUCUUUUUUUGUCCCAGGGAUCGAACUUGGGUCCUUGCGCUUUUGAGGCAGGUGGUAGAACCACUGAGCUAAAUCCCGGGCCUAGGGUUUUGGUUUUUUUUGAGACAGGGUCUCACUAUAUAGUGUAGGCUGUAUACCCAGUCUGGCCUUGAACUAGUGGCAGUCCUCCUGCCUUUGCCUCCAGAGUGCUGGGAUUACAGGCGUGGGGCACCACACCUGGCCCAAUUUGUUUUUAAAAAUAGGUAAACUGGGUGUGGUGACUAUGCUUUUGAUCCCAGCACUUGUGGAGGCUGAGGCAGGAGGAUCAUCUGAGUUCAAGGCCAUCCUGAACUAGUAAGACCUCUCAAAAAAACAGCAUAGGUGAUAAAUGAUCGGGCAAGGGUGUCUCUGAAUUAACACUUUCAGCCACCUGUUAGGCCACAAGGACCCUUCCUUGGGCCUGUCCUCUUGGCCAGCUGUGCUGAGGACUUGAGCUCCUGUGUGUUCAGGGUCAGAACUGCCUGUAAACUCAGUGACAGUGGCCUGUGAGGCUUCUUGGGCAUUGAGGAAAGGAGUACCUUGUGAUAGGGUGUAUGUAGGUGUCCCGGGUUGCUUUCUUUUUUGUGGAGGCUUUUUGUUGUUUGUUAAUUUGAGACAGAGUUCGCUGUGUAGUUCAGGCAGGCCUUGGACUCACUAUGGAGUCCAGGCUGGUGUCAAACUCAUGCUGAUCCUCCUGCCUCAGCCUCCCAAGUACUAGGAUCACAGGCAUGUGCCACCACACGGGGCCUAUUUUUGUUCUGGUGUUGGUUUGUCUGUCUUCUCAGUGUUGAGGAUCAAACUCGGCCUUGUGCAUGCCCAACUCCAGCCCUCCUGUGCUCUUCUGAGCUGCCUGGCUGUGCUCUGGGCCCGUCCUGUGGCUGCUGGGGGAUUGGGAUGGGGUGCUGCUUGCCACUCACUGCCCCCAGAAGAGGGUGACAGGCUGGCAUGCUGCAGCCAGGUGCCGUGCUAGGGAGUGUUAACGCACCUGGGCCCUGCAGACAGCCCUGGUUCCAGCGUUGCCUGUGGCUGACCUGGACGCCUGGGCAGUGCUGCCUUCCUGGAGAGCAGGCAGGGAGUGCAGGCCCUGGAAGUAGGUGCAGGGUGAAGGCGCAGGGGCCCGCAGCCAGCGGUCUUACAUCGGAGUGUGAGCACUGAGGCAUGUUAGGGGCCACGAAGGGAUCAGAGCUUCACGAGUCUUGAAUAAAGUGACAGUGGGGAGGACAACAUUCUCAGUGAGGCCCCUGGCAAAGCAGGCACCUUUGGGAGAGCACGGUGCCCCAGGAGCCACCCGGCCUCUGCCUUCCCGUCUUCCCUCUGAGCCUGGCUGUGCCAGCUGCCUUGCUGGCCUUGGUGCUCUGUAGAAGUGGGGCCGCAGCCUCGGCCGGGAGUGCUGUGUCUGGUGACAGCCGCCUUUCUGCUCCUGGCCCCGUGCUGGCCUGCUAAAGGACUGAUGUCACAUCUGUGCUUGGACCAGGCCCUUCAGCCAGGUGGGCAUGUCUGGCCGAGGGACUUGCUGCCCUGUGCUCCUUGUGCUGCCUGUGUCCCCUGCGUGUCCUGUCGCCCUCCACCACCUUGGGUCAGCAGGGCUGGGCUUGGGACCUGAGGGGACAUCCUGCCACCACUGUGCUUGGCAGGAGCCAGGUGGGCCUUCCCCCUUGGCAGGCCACCUCCCUUCCCUUCUGGGAGCACCCGGAAGAGCGGGGGAUGGGGUGGCUGUGUCCCCAGCAUUGCGGCUUUGCCACCCUCAGCUCUGGAGGAGUGAAGUAGGUCACACCUUCCCGCCCAUCCGCCAUGCCAGCCUGAAUCGCCAGAUGAGUGGGCCAGCGAAGGUGGGGAGCCUGGAUCCUGUUAAGGAUAGGGGCAGGCAGCGCCUACGUGCCCAGGUGCCCAUGCCCACGUGGAUGCCCUGUGCAGCUGCCCUGCCAGGAAGCUGUCCUCUGCCUGGCGUGGGUGCCAGUGGAAGUGGCAGCCCUGUCUCCGAGGUGGCACUUGUGUCGUCCCUCUUAAGGCUUUGUUUUGUCGUCAUGAGCCUUGGUGUGCACUAGAGGGGUUCACCGUGGCAGCCCAGCAGGCCCGGGUCUGUGUCCCAGGCCCAGCAACCUUGCUGUCCCCUCGGGGGGCUGGGAGUGGCGCGGUGAGCCUCGUGUGUCUAGCACCACCAGCAGCCCAGGCCCAUGGUCUCUAGCAAGCAGAGCCCGGGAGCUGCCACCAGUGCCUGUGUGGGCUUCAGGUGGGCUCGGGAGGCUGCUCCGGAUCCAUCCCCAGCUUCGGGCCCUGGAGAGCCACUUCCACAGGGAGGGUGCCCAGGUGGCCAUGGGGACCCUCCUGGCUCGGGCCUGGCUCCACCUCCUGUCACCCUCCUGGGCGGCACUGUGCCUCAGACAGCCCUGUCGGCUAGGCUCUGGCCUUGAGACUAAGGAGGGUGUGAGCCUGCAUGCCCAGGCUGGCCCUGCCACUUCCCAGCUGGGCGGGUCGCCUGGCUCCGUGGGGUGGGGCUGCACUCUGCUCAAUUGUGCCGUGAGGCUUGCGAGAGUUGGGCUUGGGGUCCGGAGCUGGGUCUUCUGAGGCCAGGGCUCUGCAGUGUCAGAGUUGGGGGCUGUCCAGUGCCCUCUCCUGGGUUUAGGGGAAUUCGAGGCUCUUUGAACUUUGCCUUUUAGGGGAUGCAGAGGGCUGCCACGGAGGGGAGGAGAUGGUCCCUGAAGUCUAGGCCAGCAGCUCAGGGAGGUAGCCCACCUCUGGCCAUAGCUGUGUCCUCAGUCUUGCCUCUAUGGCCAGAACCCAAGAGUGGCUCAAGUCCCUCCCUGUGCCCUCUGGCUGUGUCUGUCCCAGGACAAGUGGCCAGUGCUGGCAAGUCCCAGAGGUCCCAUGCUGGGGUCUCCCUGAGGCUGCCCCUGAAACUGUUUUGGGUCCUAUCUGUCACCUCCUGGCCCUGGGCUCUCCUGGGUCUGACUUUUUGUCUCCAGUCUCUGAUCCUCUGUCAAGGUCUGUGUCCUACAUCCUGGUCUCUGACCCUCAGCUCCACCCCGGGGACUCCCUAGCCAAGCCACACCUGCCGGGUGGUUAUCUCUUCCCUGCAGCUGGCCUGGAAGGUCAGGUUGGGGUGGGGCUGAGGCACAAGG
rnacentral:lncRNA from 1 species